GCCCCCGUAGAUUAGCGGUAGAUCAUCUUCAUCUUAUAAUCCAUAAAUAUGUUUUCUGAAGAUGUCGUAGGUUCAACUCCUACCGAGGGCA